rnacentral:rRNA from 1 species
GGGGAAUUUUGGACAAUGGGGGCAACCCUGAUCCAGCCAUGCCGCGUGCAGGAUGAAGGUCUUCGGAUUGUAAACUGCUUUUGUCAGGGACGAAAAGGAUUGUGUUAAUACCAUGAUCUGCUGACGGUACCUGAAGAAUAAGCACCGGCUAACUACGUGCCAGCAGCCGCGGUAAUACGUAGGGUGCAAGCGUUAAUCGGAAUUACUGGGCGUAAAGCGUGCGCAGGCGGUUCUGUAAGACAGAUGUGAAAUCCCCGGGCUCAACCUGGGAAUUGCAUUUGUGACUGCAGGACUAGAGUUCAUCAGAGGGGGGUGGAAUUCCAAGUGUAGCAGUGAAAUGCGUAGAUAUUUGGAAGAACACCAAUGGCGAAGGCAGCCCCCUGGGAUGCGACUGACGCUCAUGCACGAAAGCGUGGGGAGCAAACA